AAGAGCUAAAAGAGCGGCUUGAUUUCGACUUAAGUAAUGAAUUUAUAUAGUGAAAUUCACGUCAUU
rnacentral:tRNA from 1 species